GGAGAUGAGUAGACUCCGGAAGAAUGAGUAGCUCAACACUUCACAUUUGAAUGCAUUUGAGUAAUGGAAUUUCAGUCACUGAUAUUAUAAUCCUGUGUUUAAUUACUCUAACCACCGUUUAAUUUUCUGAGAAUUAUUGAUCUUUUUUUAUGAUGAAUAUUUUAGGACGAAUGAUGGACAAAAGUACAGCAGAUGUAGCUUCAGAUGGGUAUCACAAAUAUAAGGAAGAUGUCAAGCUGAUGGCUGAAUUGGGAUUGGACUCCUACAGAUUCUCCAUCUCUUGGUCAAGACUUCUUCCGAAUGGAAGAGGAUUUGUGAAUCCUAAAGGUCUGCAGUUCUACAACAACUUCAUCAAUGAGCUAGUGAA